rnacentral:rRNA from 1 species
GACGAACGCUGGCGGCGUGCUUAACACAUGCAAGUCGAACGGAAAGGCCCUGCUUUUGUUGGGUUCUCGGGUGGCGCGCGGGGGGGAAACACGUGUGUAACCUGCCCUUGACUUUCGGAUAUCUGCUGGAAACCGGGGCUAAUAGCGCAUAUUAGCUCUUGCACCGCGGUGGGGGGUGGGAAGUUUCGGCGGUUGGGGUUGGGUUCGCGGCUUAUCAGCUUGUUUGUGGGGUAGGGGCUGACGAAGGCUGCGACGGGUAGCCGGCCUGAGAGGCUGGCCGGCGACAUUGGGCCUGCGGUACGGCGCAGCCGCCUACGGGAGGCAUCCGUGGGGAGUGUUGCACAGUGGGCGCAAGCCUGAUGGAGCGACGCCGGGUUCGGGAUGACGGCCUUCGGGUGAUCAACCGCUUUCGCCUGUGACGAAGCGUGAGUGACGGUAAUGGGUAAAGAAGCACCGGCUAACUACGUG